rnacentral:lncRNA from 1 species
UCUGCCUGUCUGUCACUCUCAUACACAUUCUCAGGGUGACAAAGGACAGAAAGGAGAAGUCGGAGCCACAGGUUUGCCCGGAAAUCCAGGCAAAGAUGGUCGAGCUAAUCCUAUUUGUGUGGUGGGUCCUAAAGGACAAAAGGGUGUUCCUGGUGUAGUUGGUCCAGAGGGGCUUGCAGGAGAAUCAGGCCGCCCAGGACCUCCUGGACCACCUGGAGUUGGAAAACCAGGACCACCAGGGCCCUCUGGUGGAACUCCAGAAUCUAAAGGAGAAAAAGGGGAUUCUGGGAUACAUGGUGAAGACGGAAAGCCUGGAGAACCUGGUCCGAGAGGUCCUUGGGGACCUAAAGGCGAGAAGGUAAGUCUAAGCAGUCUGAAUUUCAGAUUCUGCAUGGAAAUUACUGUUGCUU